CAAAGACCAAAGUUAUCUAAUCCCAGCUGUGUGCCCAUGAGGAGUGUCUGGUCAGUGGAUCCACCACAUAACUUAAGUGGACACAAAGAUCCUAUGUUUAGCACGGACCCACCAGAACCCAGCUGUGUGUCCAUGAAGAGUGACUGGUCAAUGGAACCUCCACGUAACUUUAGUGGACACACUGUAACAUCAUCCGAUAAGGCCGAUUGUUACAACACUAAUCUUGGGUUUAGCAAAAUGGUACAAGAGGCAACUUCAAGAGUACUUCACGAGGAAAACUCUGAACCCCCAUACAGUAUAUUUUCUGUCACAUGGCCUUCUGCCUUACAUAUGUACAGUAUCUAA
rnacentral:lncRNA from 1 species